rnacentral:rRNA from 1 species
GUGAGGAAUCUUGCGCAAUGGGGGAAACCCUGACGCAGCAACGCCGCGUGAGUGAUGAAGGCCUUCGGGUCGUAAAGCUCUGUCAGAUGGGAAGAAGGUUCCGGCGAUCAAUAAGCGCCGGAAUUGACGGUACCGUUAAAGGAAGCACCGGCUAACUCCGUGCCAGCAGCCGCGGUAAUACGGAGGGUGCAAGCGUUGUUCGGAAUUAUUGGGCGUAAAGAGCGUGUAGGCGGCCUAGUAAGUCAGAUGUGAAAGCCCUUGGCUUAACCAAGGAAGGGCAUUUGAAACUGCUUGGCUUGAGUACGGGAGGGGGAAGCGGAAUUCCCGGUGUAGAGGUGAAAUUCGUAGAUAUCGGGAGGAACACCGGUGGCGAAGGCGGCUUCCUGGACCGAUACUGACGCUGAGACGCGAAAGCGUGGGGAGCAAACAGGAUUAGAAACCCCGGUAGUCC